UCUGGCUGGGGGCCUCCAAUGUCCAGUCUCUCUCUCUCUCUCUCUCUCUCUCUCACACACACACACACACACACACACACACACACACACACGAUUAUUGUUAUUCUCUUUACAGAAAGAUACCACUGUAUUCUGCAGGCCUUUGAUCCCCUCAACCCCCACCCUGUAUUUCAGCCCCAUCUCCCUGCUGUUGCAAUUAUGUCUACCGAGCCCUGCCGGCCAAGGUUUCAGGAGGCACAGCCCUGGCCAUUAACCUUUCAAGAACUAAAUGCCAAUAGUGCUGCGUCACAGGGAGAACACUUGCUAUUUACAGCGGCUUGUUCAGACCAGGAGGUACGGGGUAAAGAGAGAUUUGCUUUAAUAACGAGCAGGUGCUUAGAAUUAAUGCAGGGAAGGAAAAGCCUGUGAAGGGACCUGAGCGAGCCCGAAUCCAGGUCAAGCCUGAGGAGACGUCCAGCCAUGUACCACACAGGUUGUUGUUCUCAUGAAUCUGGUCACAGCAGCAAGAAAAACUACUGUCCCUCCUGUGUCUUCUCAGCCACCAGGGCAGCUACAGCCACCCUGCUAAGAGUGUUUCUUCAGUGCAUCAAAGGCUGCAGGAGCAAGCUCCCUGCUCACUCAGAAUGAACAGUCUUCAUCCUCUUGCCCCUUCCCUCUCCCUGCCUCACCUCUCCCUUGAGUUCACUCAGCUCCAGCCAAAUGGCCUCCUCCUUCCACAGGGCCAAGCUCACCUUCCCUCCCAGCAUUCCUCUGCUCAGAGCACCCCCUCCCAUGGCUCCCCAGUUCCCCUCUCCAGGCCCUGACUGGGUUGUCACCUUCUCAUCAAGGUCUUCCCCAGAUACCCUAUUUAAAGGCACAGACUCCCCCGCCCCGCACACUCCCGCCCUCGGUCCCUGCAUUGCUAUCCUCCAGUGCUCUCAUUGCCUCUAACUUACUGCAUAUUUUACUCAUUUGUCUUGUUUAUCGCCUGUCUCUCCCCCAUAAAGUAAAGCUGUGGGAGAGUGGGGAGUGUGUCAGUUUUGUUCACUGCUGCAUCCUUAGCCUCGUGAAGAAUGAUUGACAAAUUAAACACUCAAAAGUAUUUUCUAUGCUUCUUUACUUUGAAUUAACCAUUUUCUCAUGGAGAACGUAAUGACGUUAUUGUUGUUUUACCAAGGGCCAGAAGAUUGCCAAAGGCUCACAUUCAUGCUUGAGAAGCCAUGGCCCCAAGGCUGUGUAACCUUAUGGAUUGCAAAUCCUGACUCUGAAUCCUCAAACGGGCCCCCACAAGGUUAUCAGAUCCAGCACGCAUGUGGAGAAAGCCUGGCUUUUGUGAGGUAAGUGCGGGCUCGUUAGAAUUAAUGAGCUGCCCACAUGGUGGGCGUGUAGCCUAAUUGAUACUGGCCCUGGGCAGGGUUGCACUUUUAAUCACUAAUGGCCUGCAGCCUGCUGCAACCAUGGCCAGGAUGAGGCUAACUAGGAAGUGCCAGGAGACAGAGCAGAGCCACAGGGAGGUCACCCACUGCCCAGGAGGGGCCUGUCUGCAGGCACACAAGGAGCUCAGAACCCAAUACUGGCAGUCAUGCCUUCAGAGAGGCAGAAACGUC